UGGGGAAUUUUGGACAAUGGGGGAAACCCUGAUCCAGCCAUCCCGCGUGUGCGAUGAAGGCCUUCGGGUUGUAAAGCACUUUUGGCAGGAAAGAAACGUCAUGGGUUAAUACCCCGUGAAACUGACGGUACCUGCAGAAUAAGCACCGGCUAACUACGUGCCAGCAGCCGCGGUAAUACGUAGGGUGCAAGCGUUAAUCGGAAUUACUGGGCGUAAAGCGUGCGCAGGCGGUUCGGAAAGAAAGAUGUGAAAUCCCAGAGCCCAACUUUGGAACUGCAUUUUUAACUACCGGGCUAGAGUGUGUCAGAGGGAGGUGGAAUUCCGCGUGUAGCAGUGAAAUGCGUAGAUAUGCGGAGGAACACCGAUGGCGAAGGCAGCCUCCUGGGAUAACACUGACGCUCAUGCACGAAAGCGUGGGGAGCAAACAGG
rnacentral:rRNA from 1 species